rnacentral:ncRNA from 10 species
UAGGUGAACCUGCGGAAGGAUCAUUC